GGUGCUUUGUAGCAGACAUCUUUAUACUGGAAUUUUGGUCUGUUAAUGUAGCUACAUAUUUGCUUACAUGAUAAUUGGCCCAGAACUUAGAUCCAUUUGUUGCUUACAAGAUCACUUUCUCAAUAUCUAUCUAUAAGUAUGAUGUACCGUAGGGGAGUAAUUUGUGGUUUUCGUGUGGGGAAGAAGGUGGGAUUUUGACCAAAAAAAAUUAGGUGCAGGGGCUGGUAUUUAAGUGUAGUAGUACGUUUUUCCAUUUGGUUUAUUUUGAGGUGUGUUAGGAGUGAGCAGGUCACACAACUAUAUAUACUUUGAUCACACAACUAUUUGUAUAGGUUUUCUAUCUAUAUUAAAGGCAAAUGUGUAGUCAAUUUUUUUUAACAUGUUUGUGAUAGAUAUUGGAGUCUUGUUUGGGAAUCUGGAUAAUGCUUCAUUUCUUUUGUAAUUUCUCUUCAAGCAAAGUCUGCAUGGUUAAAUCCUGGAUCUCAUGCCAGUAUUCAAUUAUUUAAUAGGUUCAGCAGAUGCACCUUUGGACAAAUGUUGUUGUGCCGGUGGUGCUGUCAGUUAUGAACUUGAGCUGGGCAACUUGUUUUCUUGACUAUAUAUAUAAUCCCGAGGUAGAUUAUGAUGCCGAUGAUGAGGCUUAGGAGCUAGCUAGUUUAAUUUGUGUGAUGUUACAAUGGAUUCAUAUUAAUUAUGAUGUUUUGAAUUGUAAUGACUUGGUAUUUUGCUUGAAUGUUGAAUUAACAUUUUGGAUGAAUGACUUGGUAUUUUGGUUGAAUUGUAAUGACUUGGUAUUUUGCUUGAAUUGUAAUGACUUGGUAUUUUUCUUUAAUGACAUUUGAUCAUAUUAUGUAAUUGUAUUUUGGUUGAAUGUUGAAUUGUAAUGCUAUUUUAGUUUUUUUUAAUUACAAAAUAGGAUUUAAAAUAUA
rnacentral:lncRNA from 1 species